rnacentral:rRNA from 1 species
AAAAGAAACUAACAAGGAUUCCCUCAGUAGCGGCGAGCGAAGAGGGAACAGCCCAGCGCCGAAUCCCCGUCCGACGGGCGGAUUGGGGAAAUGUGGCGUAUGGAAGAUCGCUUGCCCGGUGUCGCUCGGGGGCUUGAGUCCUUCUGAUCGAGGCUCAUCCCAUGGACGGUGUGAGGCCGGUAACGGCCCCCGUCGCGCCGGGGUCCGGUCUUCUCGGAGUCGGGUUGCUUGGGAAUGCAGCCCAAAGCGGGUGGUAAACUCCAUCUAAGUCUAAAUACCGGCA